rnacentral:rRNA from 1 species
UACGUAGGGUGCGAGCGUUGUCCGGAAUUAUUGGGCGUAAAGAGCUCGUAGGCGGUGUGUCGCGUCGGCCGUGAAAACCUGCAGCUUAACUGUGGGCUUGCGGUCGAUACGGGCAUCACUGGAGUUCGGCAGGGGAGACUGGAAUUCCUGGUGUAGCGGUGAAAUGCGCAGAUAUCAGGAAGAACACCCGUGGCGAAGGCGGCUCUCUGGGACGGUACUGACGCUGAGACGCGAAAGCGUGGGGAGCGAACAGG